UGCGUAUCUGUAUAUGAAGUUUACAGGGGAAAGCAUGUGGAAGUUAAAAUCUGGUUUGUUUUGCCUUGAAGAACAAUCACUUCUAUUCAAAGGUCUUACAUGGUGGAGGUUAGCUUUUCUCCUGUACCAAUGCACUUCGAUGGUGUUCCCUCCUUUGUCUGAAGCAUAACCAACAUGUAGAGGCUGCACUUCAAAACUAUUCUAGUUAGACAUAUUAAGCGAAGAGACCGGUCAUCUUGAUCGAGUUUAUAAUUAUACCUGAUGGAUAUCACCCAUGAAAUGGGACACGAAGAGCAGGGCCUCGGUUAAGUUGUCUGAUGACAAGAAAUUUAGAAAAGGAACAUGAGAGGGAGAUAAAAGAUGUGGGAAUUGGUGAAUAGCAAGAAGGUGGCAAUGUUAUGGUACUACAUUGUGACUUAGAUGAUGCUGCAGUGUUGUAGGAAAGAAGCUGUGUGGUGUAGUUGUAAAUGGCUCCUGCUACGCAUCUUCCUUUCUCUCCAUAUUCAUCCUUGCAGUCCCCUUUAGACCGAGAAAGACUAAAUCCAUUAGAAACUGAGGCUUUGGAACCUUCUCACCUAUGUUUUUGAUAGUUUUAUGAAAAGGGUCUAGUGAAAAAACUCACUAUUGUAUUGGUAGGAACAUACAUCAGGAGUGUUGAUGUAGUGAAGAGGAGAAGACCAGUGGUACCUAAACUUAACACGAUCAGCCCAUAGACACAAGCUCGACAAAUCUCCUUCCGCAGAUUCAGAUGAUUUCAUGACCUUCUUUCCCCCAGCCAUGGAUGUUAGGUGCUGCAUAAAGAAGCCAAACAGUGAUGAUCAUCAUCACUACAUGUAACCC